UAGCAGGAAUUCCCAGUGUAGCGGUGAAAUGCGUAGAUAUUGGGAAGAACAUCGGUGGCGAAGGCGUGCUACUGGACCGUAACUGACACUCAGGGACGAAAGCUAGGGGAGCGAAAGGGAUUAGAUACCCCUGUAGUCCUAGCUGUAAACGAUGGAAACUAGGUGUGGCUUGUAUCGACCCGAGCCGUGCCGUAGCUAACGCGUUAAGUUUCCCGCCUGGGGAGUACGCACGCAAGUGUGAAACUCAAAGGAAUUGACGGGGGCCCGCACAAGCGGUGGAGUAUGUGGUUUAAUUCGAUGCAACGCGAAGAACCUUACCAGGGCUUGACAUGUCGCGAAUCUCGGUGAAAGCUGAGAGUGCCUUCGGGAGCGCGAACACAGGUGGUGCAUGGCUGUCGUCAGCUCGUGUCGUGAGAUGUUGGGUUAAGUCCCGCAACGAGCGCAACCCUUAUUUUUAGUUGCCAGCAUUAAGAUGGGCACUCUAGAAAGACUGCCGGUGACAAACCGGAGGAAGGUGAGGACGACGUCAAGUCAGCAUGCCCCUUACGCCCUGGGCUACACACGUACUACAAUGGUUGGGACAAAGGGCAGCGACUCCGCAAGGAAUAGCGAAUCUCAUCAAACCCAGCCUCAGUUCAGAUUGCAGGCUGCAACUCGCCUGCAUGAAGGAGGAAUCGCUAGUAAUCGCAGGUCAGCAUACUGCGGUGAAUUCGUUCCCGGGCCUUGUACACACCGCCCGUCACACCAUGGAAGCUGGUCACGCCCGAAGUAGUUACCCUAACCUUUCGAGGAGGGGGAUUCCUAAGGCAGGGCUAGUGACUGGGGUGAAGUCGUAACAAGGUAGCC
rnacentral:rRNA from 1 species